rnacentral:rRNA from 1 species
UACGUAGGGCGCAAGCGUUAUCCGGAAUUAUUGGGCGUAAAGAGCUUGUAGGCGGUUUGUCGCGUCUGCCGUGAAAGUCCGGGGCUCAACUCCGGAUCUGCGGUGGGUACGGGCAGACUAGAGUGAUGUAGGGGAGACUGGAAUUCCUGGUGUAGCGGUGAAAUGCGCAGAUAUCAGGAGGAACACCGAUGGCGAAGGCAGGUCUCUGGGCAUUAACUGACGCUGAGGAGCGAAAGCAUGGGGAGCGAACAGG